UUGCCUAAGGGCUAGUAUUACCCUUAGGCAACUUCGAUAGCGUGUCGCA
rnacentral:ncRNA from 1 species